rnacentral:misc_RNA from 1 species
AAAGAACACGGUGCCGCGAGGUGCCUUUUCUAUUAACCACUGUGAAAUGACCCGUUGCUUCGGCAGCUCCCUUUCCUCUUGGAUGGGAUCAGUCUGCCGGCGGCACACAUCAAAACCAUUCUGUAACUGUUGUCAGCCUGUAAGAAUUUAAUUCGUUA